rnacentral:rRNA from 1 species
ACUCCUACGGGAGGCAGCAGUGGGGAAUUUUGGACAAUGGGGGGAACCCUGAUCCAGCCAUGCCGCGUGCAGGAUGAAGGCCUUCGGGUUGUAAACUGCUUUUGUACGGAACGAAAAGGUCUUUUCUAAUAAAGAAGGCUGAUGACGGUACCGUAAGAAUAAGCACCGGCUAACUACGUGCCAGCAGCCGCGGUAAUACGUAGGGUGCGAGCGUUAAUCGGAAUUACUGGGCGUAAAGCGUGCGCAGGCGGUUAUGCAAGACAGAUGUGAAAUCCCCGGGCUCAACCUGGGAACUGCAUUAGUGACUGCAUAGCUAGAGUGCGGCAGAGGGGGAUGGAAUUCCGCGUGUAGCAGUGAAAUGCGUAGAUAUGCGGAGGAACACCGAUGGCGAAGGCAAUCCCCUGGGCCUGCACUGACGCUCAUGCACGAAAGCGUGGGGAGCAAACAGGAUUAGAUACCCUGGUAGUCCACGCCCUAAACGAUGUCAACUGGUUGUUGGGGAUUUACUUCCUCAGUAACGAAGCUAACGCGUGAAGU